GUGCUCGCUUCGGUAGCUCAUGCACUAAAUUGGAAUGAUACAGAGAAGAUUAGCAUGGCCCCUGCACAAGGAUGACACAUAAAUUCGUGAAGCGUUCCCUAUUUUU
ensembl:snRNA U6 U6 spliceosomal RNA